AUGAAAGCUGCGGCUGAGACCGCUGACAACACGCCCCGCCCCGCAAAUAAGGCCGAUCAUUUUGUAGCGGCCGAUUCAGAUAUGUUUGUCGAUGUUUCACCCUUGGAUUCUGCCCCGAAAGUCGUUCGUGGUCCGGCCAGUAGGAUUGAGAGGCACCCAAUGGCCUUUACCCCACCGAGCUUCAGCCUCGGCGUCAGUCAAGAUCAACCGGUGGUGCACGAUCCUAUACCAGUUGCCUUUGCUUUCCCAGGAGGCAUGCCCGCAAUGAUGGCGCAGCCAAUGGUCGAGGGCAGGAAGGCUGUCAAGUUCGCAGAGCCAAUUGUGCAAGCCACCCCUGAGGAGAUUUCACCGUCACUUGAUGAAGUUUACCGCAUGAUCGAGGAGACAGCAUUGCAGAGGAGUUCCUCACGAGGGCAAGGGCAAUCAAGUUGCAAUGUGUCUGCAGAUACGGUAUCCGAGGAUACCAUUAGGAGUGUCACCCCUGGUCCUGUGAGGCAGCAGAGGGUAGUUCACCCACCCCCUGCGGAAGACUACGAGCCCGAAUUCAGGGCCACUAAGGAACAGACCCAGCUGUACGAUAUCGUCAAGCGUUUUGGAAAUGCGAGGACCAACAUCAAGCACAUAAAGGAGCUGAAAGUGUAA
rnacentral:rRNA from 1 species